CCCGUCAAGGUCAGCGUGCGGAGUGAGGGGCGCCACCGGGCCUCUCCCGCAGCCCCUCUGUCCGGUCAUACGUUUGCAGCGGUGUGUUCUGGUGGCCGUGGGAAAAAACAAAGCGUUGUUCCUAGUGGAAGCAAAAGGGGUCUCCUGGGCUGGUAAAGAGCCCUUGACAAGCUUGAUUCCAUGUAGCAAAACGUGGUUGUGGCAUCGGGCUCGGCAGAGUGCAGGGAGCGUUUGGGCACUGCUCUUAGACAGAGGGUUUGGAUUUUGGGUGGUGCUGUGUGGAUCCAGGAGCUGGACUCGAUGGUCCUUAUGGGUCCUUUCCAACUCGGGAUUCAUGAUAGUUCCAUGAAAAGAUGUGUAUGUCCUCUACAAAUGCAAACUAAAACACUUAAUAGCUGGCAAUGCACGUAUGUCCCAUGAAUACAGAUAAUAAAGUAAUCACAUGCGAACUUCUGUUAACCUCUAGCAAUGUCAUCAGUGCUGCACAAGGCAUCAAAGGAGAAAACACACCUUCCGAAGACCAGAGGAUUAAGCUGGAAUUGCGUUUCCUGUUUUUCUGUGGCCACUGCCACGAGAGCAGUAACAGAACUCAAAGGAAAAGGCACAUUCCCAAGAACGGCAAACUCCAUGGGUCUCACUCAACUCCGUUUGAGGCAAACUCCUGGAAUCACAGAAUCAUAAAGGUUGGAAAAGACAACUGAGAUCACUGAGUCUACCCACCAAGCCAUCCCCACCAUGCCCACUAACCAUGUCUCUCAGUGC
ensembl:lncRNA